rnacentral:piRNA from 1 species
UGACACUUCUGAGAAGACAGGGUUCAG